AUUGAAACACCGGUUCUCGUAAAAUCACCGAAGUUAAGCAACGUCGAGCCUGAUCAGUACCUAGCUUGGUGACUGCUUGGGAAUAUCAGUGCUGUA